AACAAACCGCGAACACCGUUGAAUUUCAUAAACACAAAUACUUCAAAAUACAUCAAUUUUUUUGAUAACUUUUGGGGUUUUAUCAAAAUAAAUUCUAAAAUUGCAAUAAAAUUUUUGAAAGCAAGUUUCACUCUUUUAUUUCAAAGAAUAUUUUGCCUUCAAACCCAUGAAAUUGCACAAAAUCACUCUGUUAUUGUAAAGGCUUUUACGUCCAACGAUGUACGUUUUAAAUAAUUCGUACGUAUUUCAGAAGGUUUGUGUUGUGUUGGAAAAAGCUAAGCAUCCAUUGGCAUCCCAUUGAUACAAAAGAUCAAUCCUUGGUUUAUAAAUGUUGUUAAAGUCUCAAUUUUACUCAAAAAGAAUUCAUAAUUAAGCUUUGCGAUGGAAUUUAGACAUUAGCAACCAUCUUAGGCCUUAGCGUUCAAAAAUUGUUUCAACGAAAUGAUUUGAAAGUAGCCUUGAAUAAUUACAAGUGUUCUAUUCAAGCAAUUCUCUCUUUACCUUAGUUUUUUUUGUUUUACUACACCUUGUUAUUUCACCCCAUUUUCACUCUUUUACCACUGCGCACUGCACAUCCUCCACCUUACACUGUAUUGUACCCACCACACUAUAAGAGAAGACGGCGUACUUUCGCCCUGCCUAUAAUUCAAGG